CAAGGUCAGCCAGCCUCUCGUCCACAGUGGAGCGCUGCCUCUGGGAGAAGUACAGUUCACACGUUGGGUGGAGUUAUCAGCAGUUAAAAACAGUUCAGCUUCACAGAAGUGAAAGUAAACCUGGCUUGUCACGGAGACCCGAGGCUGGGAGCCACAAAUGCUGUACAAAAAAAAAAAAAAAGAAUGCACUCCUGAAGAGUGACUGGGAGGGGUGAAAGAAAGGGGGGGUCCUCCGAGCUUUGACUACAGCUGGAUCCAGCCAAAGCCUGCAAUCACCCAGCGGUCCCCUUUCCCACUGCCAGCACGCCUCAUCUUCACCAAUUAGCGUGGAGGGUGAUAUUCUACAUGCUGUUUUGAUCAAACAGUGACAUGCCGCAGAGGCAGCAAAAUACAGCUGAGAAGCCUCUAAUGAAAGAAAAUGAGACGUUAUUAAUGCCUGAUAAUGUUAAUCAGCAAAUCGCUGAGCGCUCGCUCACUCAGCGGUGCCACGGGAGCCCCGCAGGGCCGCCACAGCUGGAGGUAAGAAGACAUUUGAGUCGCACUAAUGACUGUAAAAGCCUGUCCUCGUCCCUCCUGCGUAUGAACGCUGCGCAAUCGCUGAGGCAGCAAGGGAUGGACACAAUCAUGUUACAAGCCUGACAUGCGGCGCUGAAGCACCUAUUUAUGUAGCUUCUGUGGGCUUUUUCUUCGGAUUGACAAAAAGCCCAAUCAAAGAGACAGAGAACCCCCGAACACACAGCUGUAGCUGGCAAAGCCAAUUAUACUACUCAGAUGUGCGAGUCAGAGCAUUGAUGUAACCAUUUCACGUUCUGUUGAUGUUACAAUCAAGCACGCGCACGUGGUCGCUGCUGUCAAUAGCUGCUCAGCUUGGAUGUGAAAUCCAAUUUUUGUGGCUCCAUCAUCUCUGGCGGUGUUACAAUAGCAGCCCGAGCUCGUCGAUUGGCUUCUUCGUGUGAGUUGCCCUUUGUGGAAAGGGAUGGCUGGCGCGCGCUUUCCUUCUGUUGCAAGACAACAAGGUGAAACCAGCUGAAAGCACGAGACCCCGGGCUUGGGGGGGAUCAAAGAUCUCCAAUAAGGCCUGGGUGGAAAAAGAAAAGGUCGCAGCUGUUCAAUCAGAGCGCAGGCUGAACAUCACAGACUGUUUGAAGAUGGAUUUUCAGAGAGAAUUUCCUUCUUCCUCUUACAUGCCUCGCUUUUGAGGACACUACAAAAACCUCAUCGGCAUGCCGCACCUCUGACCUUUGCAUCAUUCAUUAACGUCAAGAGCUGCUUUGUUGUUAAGUGCGCUCCGUCUGUUGAUGUAAACAGACAAGACACUUCUCCACAGUACACUAUCUUUCCUUGCUAAUCCCCAGCGAGCCAACAGGGGGGCCCCCCAUUCUUUUUGGACAGCACCCCCAUAGGCUUCAUUUGCAUUCAUCAGUCAAACGCACAGACUUGAACGGAGCCUUAUCAACAAAAAUAAGGUCACAGAGCAGAAAACAAACAAGACAAAGGCUGUGCUUCGAUCACAGUGAGUUCUUAUGGAUUAAAAAAGUGCAUUAAACGUGACAAUUUAGCAGAAACUUGCAGACUUGUCACUAAAAAAAAACUGUGAAGUGCUGGAUCAGCUCGGAGGCAGUGUGUGUGUGCAGGAGUGAUUUCUUGACUGAUAAGUGUGUGUGUGUGUGUAGUCCCGGCCAAUGGAUGGACUUGAGUGCACAGCCACACAGUAGCUCUGUUGUGUGGGUUUCUGACACAGAGCUUGCUUCUUUCUCUCUUUUAUUUUUUUUAUUUUUUUUGCACUGCAGCACAGAGACGAGAUGCACAUACUGUACCCAGAGGUUACUGCCCCCCUCCCUCCCCUCCCUGCUAGACUGGAAUGAUAAUGAGGAAACCAUGCAGGCAGAAUAUUCAUAGGCUGUCACAUUACUGUGUGUUCUUGAAGAAGGAGAAUGCAUACAAUAUGAGGUAGGUAUGGGUGCGAGUGAGAGAUAUGUAAAGAACUCCAGGCUUUUUUUUCCUGAGGGGUGUUUGAAGAGCUGGUCAGCGGUGAUUAAUCAUCUGGGGAUGAGAUGCAACCACUGCAAGAGUGAGAGACACUUCAUAUACAUUCAUGUUUAAUUAGCUGGGAUUUCAUUGACUGGAACAACUGGAGUGCACCUGUUGCAGGGAGGACUCAUGACAAGGUUGAGUUUGGACUGGCUGAAUAAAACACAAUGUGUAGAUAAAUAAUUCAUAAGUGCUGUCCUGUUAAAACUGGGUUAAUAAAAACUCACUUUUCCUGCUGCUGCGUGUCAAAUUAUGACCCAAAAACCAGUCAAUUAAAUUAAAUAAAUCAAUA